rnacentral:rRNA from 1 species
AUUGAACGCUGGCGGCAGGCUUAACACAUGCAAGUCGAGCGGGGGAAGGUAGCUUGCUACCUAACCUAGCGGCGGACGGGUGAGUAAUGCUUAGGAAUCUGCCUAUUAGUGGGGGACAACAUUUCGAAAGGGAUGCUAAUACCGCAUACGCCCUAAGGGGGAAAGCAGGGGAUCUUCGGACCUUGCGCUAAUAGAUGAGCCUAAGUCGGAUUAGCUAGUUGGUGGGGUAAAGGCCUACCAGGGCGACGAUCUGUAGCGGGUCUGAGAGGAUGAUCCGCCACACUGGGACUGAAACCCGGCCCAGACUCCUACGGGAGGCAGCAGUGGGGAAUAUUGGACAAUGGGGGGAACCCUGAUCCAGCCAUGCCGCGUGUGUGAAGAAGGCCUUUUGGUUGUAAAGCACUUUAAGCGAGGAGGAGGCUACCGAGAUUAAUACUCUUGGAUAGUGGACGUUACUCGCAGAAUAAGCACCGGCUAACUCUGUGCCAGCCGCCGCAGUAACAC